UUUGGUGAUCAUAGCACGCGUGAAACACCCGGUCCCUUCCCGAACCCGGAAGUUAAGCACCGAAGCGCCAAUGGUACUGCGUCUCAAGACGUGGGAGAGUAGGUCAUCGCCAAAC
rnacentral:rRNA from 2 species